GGGAUUGGGUUGGGGUUCCGCGACUGGCCUUUCUCUUGUUGUUGUAGAGUGCCUGCAGUUUUCUUUCUUUCUUCCACAUAGGCCUCGCUUGCAUGCCUUGUGGACCGAAAAUUUUGUAUAUAAAGAAAAGUUCUGUCUUUCCUCAAAAAGAAGAGUCACGCGGUCCUUAAAGAAAGAGGCUUCAGUCAUCGGUUCGAAUCCGAAUAAGGGCUUUUUUCUUUUCGGUAUGCCGCUCCGCUAACUAAGGAGCGAUAGAAGGAAGUGGGCUGUGGUGAUGUUAGAA
rnacentral:misc_RNA from 1 species